rnacentral:rRNA from 1 species
UACGUAGGGUGCAAGCGUUAAUCGGAAUUACUGGGCGUAAAGCGUGCGCAGGCGGUUGUGUAAGACAGAUGUGAAAUCCCCGGGCUCAACCUGGGAACUGCGUUGGUGACUGCACAGCUGGAGUGCGGCAGAGGGGGAUGGAAUUCCGCGUGUAGCAGUGAAAUGCGUAGAUAUGCGGAGGAACACCGAUGGCGAAGGCAAUCCCCUGGGCCGGCACUGACGCUCAUGCACGAAAGCGUGGGGAGCAAACAGG